UACGUGGGUGGCGAGCGUUGUCCGGAUUUACUGGGCGUAAAGAGCGCGCAGGCGGUCGUUCAAGUCGCGUGUGAAAGCCCCCGGCUCAACUGGGGAGGGUCACGCGAUACUGAUCGACUCGAAGGCAGGAGAGGGAAGUGGAAUUCCCGGUGUAGUGGUAGAAAUGCGUAGAUAUCGGGAGGAACACCAGUGGCGAAGGCGAACUUCCUGGCCUGUUCUUGACGCUGAGGCGCGAAAGCUAGGGGAGCAAACGGGG
rnacentral:rRNA from 1 species